AUCGAUGCAACAAUAUUUUUUAUAUUAGUGAUUUUCAAAAAUGUAUAUAUACAACUGGGUUUGCUACUAGUUUGCUAAUCACUUCCUACUUUUAGGAAGCCUUUGUCACAAAUAUGACUUUCUAUGAACAAUGCAAUAAUCAAUGCAGCUUGCAUUAUAACACAAUAUGGAAGCAUGCAAAAAAAUCUGUCUGUCUGGCUUUGAGUUUGCGCGCAUGCUAUGCGUAGGCUGCAUCGCAAUCGUGUCAAGACAAAUCAGAUUGGCCAAUACACCCUGAAGACAAAUUCAAUAAUUUUAAAAUUACAAAAAUUAUCCCUCUCUGGCGAACAGAAUGUUGCAGCAGGCAAAAAAUUAUCUGCAUCGAGACAGAAUCGUUCUAGCGUUUCAACCUAUCCUGGGGGGUUUAAAUAUGCCACUUGUAUCACGGCUGCAAUCUAGCGUGUUCUUUGUCGUCUUACUCUGAACAUCCCUCGUUUACUAGUGAAAUGCAUCCCGCCGAGGACACACACACACACACACACACACACACACACACACACACACACACACACACACACACACACACACACACACACACACA